rnacentral:piRNA from 1 species
CACUAUGUGACACAAUCUCCUGUGUGUU